AAUUUUGGACAAUGGGGGAAACCCUGAUCCAGCCAUCCCGCGUGUAUGAUGAAGGCCUUCGGGUUGUAAAGUACUUUUGGCAGAGAAGAAGAGGUAUCUCUUAAUACGAGAUACUGCUGUCGGUAUUUGCAGAAUAAGCACACGCUAACUACGUGCCAGCCACCGCGGUAAUACGUAGGGUGCAAGCGUUAAUCGGAAUUACUGGGCGUAAAGCGUGUGAAGGCGGUUCGGAAAGAAAGAUGUGAAAGCCAGGGGCUCAACCUUGGAACUGCAUUUUUAACUGCCGAGCUAGAGUAUGUCAGAGGGGGGUAGAAUUCCACGUGUAGCAGUGAAAUGCGUAGAUAUGUGAAGGAAUACCGAUGGCGAAGGCGGCCCCCUGGAUAAUACUGACGCUCAGACACGAAAGCGUGGGGAGCAAACA
rnacentral:rRNA from 1 species